AUGAUGUGCGGUUUCAGUACUACUAGGUGUGAGGAGGAGGAGGAGGUUAGCCUUGAUGGCCAGGUGGUACCUCAGAAGGACACCUUUCGGUAUUUGGGGUCAAUGCUGCAGGAGGAUGGGGGUAUUGAUGAUGUGAACCAUCGAAUCAAAGCCGGAUGGAUGAAGUGGCGCCAAGCUUCUAGCAUUCUCUGUGACAAGAGAGUGCCACAAAAGCUAAAAGGCAAGUUCUACAGGACGGCGGUUCGACCCGCAAUGUUGUAUGGCGCUGGGUGUUGGCCGACUAAAAGGCGAUAUGUUCAACAGUUAGGUGUGGCGGAGAUGCGUAUGUUGAGAUGGAUGUGUGGCCACACGAGGAAGGAUCGAGUCCGGAAUGAUGAUAUACGAGAUAGAGUUGGGGUAGCACCAAUUGAAGAGAAGCUUGUCCAACAUCGUCUGAGAUGGUUUGGGCAUAUUCAGCGCAGGCCUCCAGAAGAUCCAGUGCAUAGCGGACGGCUAAAGCGUGUGGAGAAUGUCAAGAGAGGGCGGGGUAGACCGAAUUUGACAUGGGAGGAGUCCGUUAAGAGAGACCUGAAGGAUUGGGGUAUCACCAAAGAGCUAGCUAUGGACAGGGGUGCGUGGAAGCUUGCUAUCCAUGUGCCAGAGCCAUGA
rnacentral:rRNA from 1 species